CAAUAGCGUAUAUUAAAGUUGUUGCAGUUAAAAGGCUCGUAGUCGGAUUUUGGCAUCACGCCGAACUGUCUGCCGAUUGGUAAGCACGGUUUGGCGGUUGCUUCCUUCCGGAGGCUCGUUUCCUUCUUAACUGAAGGGUUCGUAGGUUCCGGUUCUUUUACUUUGAGAAAAUUAGAGUGUUCAAAGCAGGCCUAUGCUCUGAAUAGGUUAGCAUGGAAUAAUGGAAUAGGACUUUGGUUCUAUUUUGUUGGUUUCUAGGACCGAAGUAAUGAUUAAUAGGGACAGUUGGGGGCAUUCAUAUUCCAUUGUCAGAGGUGAAAUUCUUGGAUUAACGGAAGAUGAACUUCUGCGAAAGCAUCUGCCAAGGAUGUUUUCAUUGA
rnacentral:rRNA from 1 species